rnacentral:lncRNA from 1 species
CCUGGUGCAUACUUCUUGGGAAGACUCAUGUCUUUAUUUCAUUCUGGUAAAUUCUGAGCUAUUUGGUCUUUCACGAAGUCCUGCCUCACUGCUGAGUCCUUUUCCACAUGCCGUGGAAUUCUUCUCAGGUUCUCUGGGAGCUGUACGAGGACGAGAAGAAAAGCAAAGCACAGACCUUUGUAUUUCAAGAAGCUUUCCUGUCAUGGCAUUUGAAAUAAAGCCUGGAACACAGCACAGAUGCAACAGGAGCCUAUUGUCCUGGUUCCAGGAGCUAUGCAGGCCCGCCUUAUUGAG